ACUCCUACGGGAGGCAGCAGUGGGGAAUUUUGGACAAUGGGCGAAAGCCUGAUCCAGCAAUGCCGCGUGCAGGAAGAAGGCCUUCGGGUUGUAAACUGCUUUUGUACGGAACGAAACGGUCUGUUUUAAUAAAGCGGGCUAAUGACGGUACCGUAAGAAUAAGCACCGGCUAACUACGUGCCAGCAGCCGCGGUAAUACGUAGGGUGCGAGCGUUAAUCGGAAUUACUGGGCGUAAAGCGUGCGCAGGCGGUGAUGUAAGACAGUUGUGAAAUCCCCGGGCUCAACCUGGGAAUUGCAUCUGUGACUGCAUCGCUAGAGUACGGUAGAGGGGGAUGGAAUUCCGCGUGUAGCAGUGAAACGCGUAGAUAUGCGGAGGAACACCGAUGGCGAAGGCAAUCCCCUGGACCUGUACUGACGCUCAUGCACGAAAGCGUGGGGAGCAAACAGGAUUAGAUACCCUGGUAGUCCACGCCCUAAACGAUGUCAACUGGUUGUUGGGUGCAUUAGUACUCAGUAACGAAGCUAACGCGUGAAGUUGACCGCCUGGGGAGUACGGCCGCAAGGUUGAAACUC
rnacentral:rRNA from 1 species